rnacentral:lncRNA from 1 species
CUUCUCUUCCCUGGAGCAGUGUCCCAGGGACUUGAAAGAUCCUGAGCACAGCAACUGGAUGCCACCAAGAGACCAAGUCAAGAAGCACAUUAGAGGCUGUUUGAGCCUCAAGUGGAGAUCAAGCCUCACCGCUGCCUGCCAGCUAAUGUGGGAGGUUUUCUGUGGCUUGACGCUGACAGCUUUCUAACUGAUAAGACAGCUUGCUCACUGAGACUCUGUGUCCUGUCACAGACACGUGUGCGGAGGAGAAGGCAGUGACUGAAAGGUCUCUAGGAAGCCUCAUCACGAGGCUGAGAACCUAAUUCCACCGGGACUAGCACAAUCAAACCCUUGGUGUGGACUUCGAAUAACCUUUCCCAUCACGUUAGAGCUGCCCUCCAAGGAGGAAGGCAAGCAGGUGGGGACAGAGGUGACCUGCCUGAGCAAGAGCCUGGGGGCAGGUGCAGGGGGAAAUGCCAAGUCAGAGUUCAGAUCUGCUUUCUUCCCCAACACACAGGAGGAAAGGUGUCAGCAAACCACAGCCCACCCAGAGGGAGGAGGAUGUGACAGCCAGCAAGGGAGGGGCUCCAGACCGCAUCCCACAAGCAACAGCGAGGACAUAGAGAGAGACUCAGAGGGGGAUGCGAGCGCACCAUUCAGCCAUUGGCAAAAUAACAAGCCCCAGUGGAUUGGGUUUGGCCACGUGGUUCCAGGAACUGGAAUGCUAAUUAAUGGGUGUGCAGAAUCAACUUCUUAACAAAUGGCUCUAAGGAUGGACUUUCACAAAAUACAGUGCAUCCUCCAUCCUUAGAGGUGUCCAAGAAGCCUGGCAGCAAACCUCCAACUUCCCAGACCUCAACCCCACCAAGAACCUUUACAGCUCAGGGAUUCUGGAAUAUAGUGGAAAUGAAAGGUAAAGUCCCCAGAAUCCAAGUGGAUCUUGUGUUCUAUUCUGACUACUCUGGAACCAUACCCUUGGCCAGACUUUUCCAAAAUGUGUUUUGUGGGACAAAUGUGAAUGCAAAAAGAAAAGGUUCUAAUGCUAUAGAAAGUUUGGGAAGCAUGGGCUUAAAUAACAUUGCUCUAGCUUUAACUCUCAGAGCCUCUAAUAUGCUCUAGGUAUUUUGAUACUCCCAAAGGGGUAGCAUAUGAAACAAUUUCCAAAUCUGCAUGACUAUAAAGACCUGGGUGUUUAUAAUAUAUUUCUGAAGACCAGAGUUUUAAAGCACACACAAUAUGAAAAUCUGCUCUAAUCUAUUUCAAAGUUUCUAAGGCAACUAGUCCAGAACUUGAGCACAACCAAAUAACAAAUUCAUCCUCCAAUUCAAUAAUAUUGUACCUCUUGGGACCCUCUCGAAAGAUCAGAUCUGUAGUCAAGAUGUAUACUCUCUCUCUUCAGCUGGUCCAAGAACACUCUCAUGACUUCUCUCCAGAAAAGACAUCACAAGCCACAGGGGAAGAAAAAGCAGUCAGAGAAAGAAAUACCCCAGAGAAGAUGGAAAACCAGCUUCAAUGACAGGAGAAAAAGAGAGAGAGAAUAUCUUCUCACCUCAGAAGGGUGGACGGGGACCCCACGUGCACCCCAUCAAUCCCUUCUCUGAACUACCACCAAACACAAGCCUGUCUGUGCAUUUCGUCCUCUCUGGACUGUGACUGACAAGCGCAGCUUCUGGCUGUUACCUGAGCAGCCAGCCGUCAGGUUCCAGUCUCGGGGCCUGCUGGUCUCCAGUGCGCUCACACCAUCAGCCCGGGCUUCCUGGGAGGGAGCGGGACGGGAGAGGACAAGCACAUCCCCCUCAAGGAGACCAGCCAGGACUGGCCAGAGAGAGAGCAGCCCAGUGAUUUCUGGGCCCUGGUUCUGUUUGAUGGGAAUGGAAAGAAAAGACUCUUGUUUCUCUCACUGUUCGCCUGGGUGACAGUUACCAUGGAUAUAAAUCAAUUUUUGGAGCCUGUCAGUCGCCAGUUGAAUAUAAAGAGCCUGCUCCUACAGAACCACAGGCAGGCAGGCAGAGACACACUCAGGGACGAAGGCGGACUCAAAUUCAGGUAUGGACACAGGAGUGGACACAGGCAGGCGCCUGGCUCCCCCCCUCCCAGGAAGAAGUAACUUGACUAGGUACUAUGUCACUAGUACGCAGGACACCCAGAACUCUGAAGGACACCCUCCAGAAUGACCAAAGAAAGUAUCCAAAAUGAGCCCUGAGAGUGGGCC